GUUAACUUUUGUUCAAGCCUGUCUAGAUCUUUUAUCAGUCUAGAAAGAUGUUGGAGAAAAGACAUCCUCCUCUUCUAUAAUCUCCAUCUGUAAUUGGACUAACAACUGGACCAGUGAAUGCAGGCAACUUACUCUCCAUUCGACCUUGCAGGUCACACCAUGGUCUCAAGAGGGAAAAUGAGUGCUCUAUGGAUUGAACAGAAAAGAUUAAUCAAAACUCCAACCAUCUGUAUGAGGGUCUGGAUGGAUAAAGGAUGCCCACUGGAGCUGGAAAUGAUGGAUCAGGUGGAUCCACACUUGAACCAUCUGUAUGAUGAUCUGCACCCACUGGAUCUGUAAAUGGUGGUGCAGGUUUCUGAAUUGAUGUCAGAUGCAAAGCAGAAGCUUAUUUUCUGCCAGUUUGGCUUCAUUGUGGGAAAAUGCUUGAAACUAAAAUGCAGAAUUCUGGCCUGGUGUUUGGUCCCCCUUUCUCUGGCUUGUGUCUCCAUCAUCAUUACACUCUUGUCAGUGUAAUAGUAUCGUCGUCUGCGUACCAGGACUUUGUUACUCAGCUGUCCCUUCUCCUUCAAGCU